GAAGGAGAUGUCGUCCAACGUGUUUGUACAUCAAUUACCUACUUUACCUAUAGAUCAACAGUGGUUGGGAGCGCUUCUAAUUGUGGUUACAACAGCGAGGUAAAUCAAUACUUCAUCAAUAACUGACAUAUUCUUGCAGCAUAUGAACUUAAAAUAGAGUACAUGAAUUGGACUGACGAGGCAACAAAGAUGAUGCAUGCUUGGGGACAUUAGGUUUGAUGUUAUUACCGAGGUA